rnacentral:rRNA from 1 species
GAACGCUGGCGGCGUGCCUAACACAUGCAAGUCGAGCGGUAACAGGUGUAGCAAUACAUGCUGACGAGCGGCGGACGGGUGAGUAACGCUUGGGAAUCUGCCUAUUAGUGGGGGAUAACUCGGGGAAACUCGAGCUAAUACCGCAUACGCACUACGGUGGAAAGCUGGGGACCGCAAGGCCUGGCGCUAAUAGAUGAGCCCAAGUCGGAUUAGCUAGUUGGUAGGGUAAUGGCCUACCAAGGCGACGAUCCGUAACUGGUCUGAGAGGACGACCAGUCACACCGGAACUGAGACACGGUCCGGACUCCUACGGGAGGCAGCAGUGGGGAAUAUUGGACAAUGGGCGAAAGCCUGAUCCAGCGACGCCGCGUGGGUGAAGAAGGCCUGCGGGUUGUAAAGCCCUUUCAGUGGGGAAGAAAAGCCUCGAGUGAAUACCUCGGGGUCUUGACGUAACCCAUAGAAGAAGCACCGGCUAACUCUGUGCCAGCAGCCGCGGUAAUACAGAGGGUGCGAGCGUUAAUCGGAAUUACUGGGCGUAAAGCGCGCGUAGGCGGCUUUGCAAGUCGGAUGUGAAAUCCCCGGGCUCAACCUGGGAACUGCAUUCGAGACUGCAUUGCUAGAGUAUGGGAGAGGGAAGUGGAAUUUCAGGUGUAGCGGUGAAAUGCGUAGAUAUCUGAAGGAACAUCAGUGGCGAAAGCGACUUCCUGGACCAAUACUGACGCUCAUGUGCGAAAGCGUGGGGAGCAAACAGGAUUAGAUACCCUGGUAGUCCACGCCAUAAACGAUGAGAACUGGAUGUCGGGAGGGUUCUGCCUCUCGGUGUCGUAGCUAACGCGUUAAGUUCUCCGCCUGGGGAGUACGGCCGCAAGGUUGAAACUCAA